GACGAACGCUGGCGGCGUGCUUAACACAUGCAAGUCGAACGGAAAGGCCUGCUUUCCCUUGUGGAUUGCGGGUACUCGAGUGGCGAACGGGUGAGUAACACGUGAGUGAUCUGCCCCCAACUUGGGUAUAAGCCUGGGAAACUGGGUCUAAUUCCCGAUAGGACUGCAGGGUGGUGCCUGUGGUGGAAAACGAUUUUCUAGUGGUUGGGGAUGAGCUCGCGGCCUAUCAGCUUGUUGGUGGGGUAAUGGCCUACCAAGGCGGCGACGGGUAGCCGGCCUGAGAGGGUGGACGGGCACAUUGAGACUGAGAGACGGCCCAGACACCUACGGGAGGCAGCAGUGGGGAAUGAUGCACAAUGGGCGGAAGCCUGAUGCAGCGACGCCGCGUGGGGGAUGACGGCCUUCGGGUAGUAAACUCCUUUCGACCGCGAGGAAGCCACCUGGUUGGAAGGGUGGUGACGGUAGUGUUAGAAGAAGCACCGGCUAACUACGUG
rnacentral:rRNA from 1 species